GAAAUCAUCACCCAGCCAGCCCUGCCCAUAUGGAAGGGAGACUACCCCGAGCCGUGACCGCCCUGCUGCUGCUCUCAGGUCUCCCUGUGAUCGCCCCAUCCUGCCCAAGACGAUGACCAGGUCUGCUCACACUGCACAAGACAAGGAAUACUUGGCCCUUUGUUUUAGAUGCCGUCUUCCCUUUACAAGUUUUGUUCCUCACUCGACCUUUCCACUCCAGUCAUCUGAGCACCGGGAAUAGUCUCUCCAGUUACCCAGACUUCUCUCGGAGACACCCUGGGUGUCCAGCAGCCGCAAAUCAUAAUAAAUCAGGAUUCCGACAACGCAGGACUCUUCUGAUAGAGAUCAGCCUCAUAAACUUCCACAUUUGACAAGAAGAGUCGCAACUCACCUCAAAGAGUUUGGUUUCUUCAAAUACUCAGAGAGACUGUUGGUGCAAACGGAAAGAUCCGAAUGAGCAUUUGGAGUUUGGCUGCUAUAGACAUUGGCUACCUUUGUCGCUUGUAUUUUCCGGCAGCCAAAGAGGAAUAUUACCCGACGUCCGAGCUUUUCCCUUGUCUCCCCUUUUCACACAGUAGAGACUCUGUACAAUCAAUUUCAAUCAAGCUUGUUGCCCUGUCCUCUCGGCUUCUUUCAAAGAAUGCUUUUUGUUGUUGUGUUGUUGUUUUUUCCUAAAGCCAGUGUCUUUGUGCUAUUAACCUUUGCCAUCCCCUUUGCCAGAGUCGCACGUCACAUUGCAUUCUGAUCACUCACCCUCAACC